UUUAAUUAUAUUUUAAAAAUACAAUAUAUAAAAUUUACUUCUACACUCGUGUACAGAACAUUUCUUCUCCACAACUUUACUUUUUUUCCCCUCAACUGUAACAAAUUAUUGCCAAGCCCCGGUCUUUUGGUGCAUAGCAUGCACUACUUAGUUUUUAAAAUUAAGAAAAACUUUAAAAACCCCUCAUGUGGUUUCGUACUUUUUCAUUUUAGUAGUUUGUGGUUUAAAGUGCAUCAAGUUAGUACCCUGUGGUUUCGCACUUUCUCACUUUAAUACCCUGUAGUUUCAAAUGUAUCAAAUUAGUACUCUAUAGUUUUAUGUUUGUACUAAAUUAAUACUCUGUGGUUUUAUUUUUGUAUCAAGUUAGUAUCCUAUAACUUUUAAACUAUAAAAUACUAAAAUGAGAAAGUACGAAACCCUAAACCCUAAACCCUAAACCCUAUCCUGCCACUCUGGCCUAUCACCAUCAUAUCCC
rnacentral:lncRNA from 1 species